CACUGACAUACUUACGAUAAAUUCGACAUGAAUCACACAUUUCCUGCAGUCUUUAGCGUUUUCAUACUUAAUAAUUAGCAGGGUUCGCCAAAACCGUCGGUCCGCCGGUCCUGACCGGCAAAUUUUCUUAGGACCGACAAGUGAUUUAAGAUAAUCGGUCCGACUGACCGACACAAUCGGAUGAAAAAUGGUUUCAAAAAGAUCACUCAAAGUGUAUAAUAUGCUAUUGGAUAAAUAAAAGACAACAAGAAUAGAUGGUGGUAAUUUUCAUGGGCCUUUCUAUCAAGAAAUAGGUGUGAAAGACAUUUAUUUAAUUGAACCUGGAAAUCAACCACCUCAGCUAGUCUUAUUUAUAAGACGCGCAAAGAAUUUAGAGAUACUUUUUAUAUGGGCUAAAUUCUUUGGAACUAUUACCCAUAUAAAAAGUAGCUUAAUAUUUAAGAGCGUCAAAAAUUUGGACUACCACGUCAGCUAAGAGAAAAUAUUUUAACAAUAGGUGUUGUUUUAGAACUUGUGAAAUCGGCUAAUUAACAGAAAUUGAAGUCAUCCAAAGUAGUGUGAAUGGGUGUGUGAGAUUAAGUCAAACUUGAUUGGAUGUCACCCUAACUUUUCAAGAACACGGAUUUGUAGAG